rnacentral:rRNA from 1 species
GACGAACGCUGGCGGCGUGCUUAACACAUGCAAGUCGAACGGAAAGACCCUGCGUUUGUGCGUUUCUCGAUUGGCGAACGGGUGAGUAACACGUGAGUAACCUGCCCUUGACUGUGGGAGAACUUCAGGGAACUCGGGCUAAUACCGGAUAGGAGCUCCUGCUGCAUGGUGGUGGUUGGAAAGUGUCGGCCUUUGGGGAUGGACUCGCUGCUUAUCAGCUUGUUGGUGGGGUAGUGGCUUACCAAGGCUUUGACGGGUAGCCCGCCUGGGAGGGUGACCGGCCACACUGGGACUGAGAGAAGGCACAGAUUCCUAAGCGACGGAGCAGGGGGGAAUCCUGAACAAGCGGCGGCGGCCUGAUGAAGAAACGCCGCGUGUCGGAUAACGGUGUUAGGGUUGUAGAACAAAUGUGUAAGUGACGAUGCGUGACUGACGGUAAUCGGUACAGAAGGACAGGCCAAAUUCGUG